rnacentral:lncRNA from 1 species
UUACAGGAAGAUCUUUUGCGAAAAUAUGGAAGCUGGUUUGUUAUUCAUCUGUUUCUGAGUCAUGGUUUCUUUCAAUCGGCGUUACAGACUUACAAUCAUCGAUCGUUUCUUUCAAUCGGUGUUUCAAACUCUUUGAUCGUACCAUAUACAGUUGAUUUCAACAGGUAUGUUUAUCAGAAACACUAAUUUUAGGUUUCUGAUGUAAAAUUGUUCAUCAGACACACGAAUUUUUUGUUGAAGAAAAUACAAAUUGUAUUUUCUUUGUUGAUUCAAGCAUAAAUACGGAUUCCUUAGGAGCGGGUUGGAUUAGUCCCGAGACAAGAACGAUUGGAUAUUUUUGUACGAUUAUGGAUUAUCUGUAGGA